UACGUAGGGUGCGAGCGUUGUCCGGAAUUAUUGGGCGUAAAGGGCUCGUAGGCGGUCUGUUACGUCGGGAGUGAAAACUCAGGGCUCAACCCUGAGCCUGCUUCCGAUACGGGCAGACUAGAGGUAUGCAGGGGAGAAUGGAAUUCCUGGUGUAGCGGUGAAAUGCGUUGAUAUCAUCAGGAACACCGGAGGCGAAGGCGGCUCACUGGGGCUUUUCUGACGCUGAGGAACGAAAGCCAGGGUAGCGAACGGG
rnacentral:rRNA from 1 species